rnacentral:rRNA from 1 species
CAGCCGCCACGGUAAUACGGAGGGUGCAAGCGUUAAUCGGAAUUACUGGGCGUAAAGCGUGCGUAGGCGGUUCGUUAAGUCUGUUGUGAAAGCCCCGGGCUCAACCUGGGAAUGGCAAUGGAUACUGGCGAGCUAGAGUGUGUCAGAGGAUGGUGGAAUUCCCGGUGUAGCGGUGAAAUGCGUGGAGAUCGGGAGGAACAUCAGUGGCGAAGGCGGCCAUCUGGGACAACACUGACGCUGAGGCACGAAAGCGUGGGGAGCAAACAGGAUUAGAUACCCCCGUAGUCCCUGUCUCUUAUAA